GGAUGGAUGUCUGAGCGGUUGAAAGAGUCGGUCUGGAAAACCGAAGUAUUGAUAGGAAUACCGAGGGAUCGAAUCCCUCUCCAUCCG
rfam:Triticum aestivum genome assembly, contig: Triticum_aestivum_CS42_TGACv1_scaffold_640863_T_4AS-0.242544_4AL-0.177526